rnacentral:rRNA from 1 species
GUAGGUGGCAAGCGUUGUCCGGAAUUAUUGGGCGUAAAGCGCGCGCAGGCGGUUCUUUAAGUCUGAUGUGAAAGCCCACGGCUCAACCGUGGAGGGUCACUGGAAACUGGAGAACUUGAGUACAGAAGAGGAAAGCGGAGUUCCACGUGUAGCGGUGAAAUGCGUAGAGAUGUGGAGGAACACCAGUGGCGAAGGCGGCUUUCUGGUCUGUAACUGACGCUGAGGCGCGAAAGCGUGGGGAGCAAACAGGGAUUAGAUACCCUGGUAGUCCACGCCGUAAACGAUGAGUGCUAAGUGUUAGGGGGGUUUCCGCCCCCUUAGUGCUGCAGCUAACGCAUUAAGCACUCCGCCUGGGGAGUACGGCCGCAAGGCUG